rnacentral:rRNA from 1 species
UACGGAGGGCGCAAGCGUUACUCGGAAUCACUGGGCGUAAAGAGCGUGUAGGCGGGUUAAUAAGUCAGAAGUGAGAUCCAAUAGCUUAACUAUUGAACUGCUUUUGAAACUGUUAACCUAGAGUAUGGGAGAGGUAGAUGGAAUUUCUGGUGUAGGGGUAAAAUCCGUAGAGAUCAGAAGGAAUACCGAUUGCGAAGGCGAUCUACUGGAACAUAACUGACGCUGAGACGCGAAAGCGUGGGGAGCAAACAGG